GAUCCUCCCACAAGGCUACACAGCCAGCACAGAGCUGGCCCUGGGCUCCAGCCCAGGCGGCUGGCUACAGAGCCAGCUGGGCUGUCUCUACUGGACGAGCCUAGCCUCCUGACCCACAAAAUGUACCCAUUCCUGUGGGGUCCUGCCCCCACCCCUUUGGCAGAGGGGAGAGGAGGCGGAGCUAUUCCAGUCGGAAUUGUCCCCGCACUGCUCGCCUCAGGCCACCUCAAGAGAGGCUGAAGGAAGGUGGGGGAGAACUCACGCACAGGACACUGAGUGCUCUGGGCCUGUCUGCUGGUGAUACGUCCUGGCAGGAAGUGAAAAUGGCGCAGAGUCAGGCAUCUGAAGUAUUUCCUUUGAUGGAGGAGCAGGGCAGAGAGCGCUGGGAGGCGGCCACACCUUGGCAGCUGGCUUCACUGGAUACUUACUUUGUGUAAGGAAACAAGCCAUCCCUACAAACACACUAGCCGUGUGAAUGAGCAACUAUGGACGUUCUAGUCCAGGCGAAACACCAGAUGACCGCAGCACCAGCAGAAUAUCCAUGGAGCAGAAGGACCAUCCACCUGUUCCAUCCAUGAAUCAUACAGACAAUAAAACUGCUCUAGUUUGA